rnacentral:rRNA from 1 species
CCUACGGGAGGCAGCAGUGGGGAAUAUUGCGCAAUGGGCGAAAGCCUGACGCAGCGACGCCGCGUGGGGGAUGAAGGUCUUCGGAUCGUAAACCUCUGUCAGCAGGGAAGAACGGUCACUGUGCUAAUCAGCAGUGAAUUGACGGUACCUGAAGAAAAAGCAUCGGCCAACUCCGGGCCAGCAGCCGCGGUAAUACGGAGGAGGCGAGCGUUAUCCGGAUUUAGUGGGUUAAAAGGGUGCGCAGGCGGUCUGUUAAGCCAGCGGUAAAAGCCCGGGGCUCAACCCCGGCCCGCCGUUGAAACUGGCAGUCUCGAGUUGGAGAGAAGUAUGCGGAAUGCGCGGUGUAGCGGUGAAAUGCAUAGAUAUCGCGCAGAACUCCGAUUGCGAAGGCAGCAUGCCGGCUCCACACUGACGCUGAGGCACGAAAGCGUGGGUAUCGAACAGGAUUAGAUACCCGAGUAGUC